rnacentral:rRNA from 1 species
CCUACGGGAGGCAGCAGUGGGGAAUAUUGCACAAUGGGGGAAACCCUGAUGCAGCGACGCCGCGUGAGUGAAGAAGUAAUUCGUUAUGUAAAGCUCUAUCAGCAGGGAAGAAAAUGACGGUACCUGAGUAAGAAGCCCCGGCUAACUACGUGCCAGCAGCCGCGGUAAUACGUAGGGGGCAAGCGUUAUCCGGAUUUACUGGGUGUAAAGGGAGCGUAGACGGCAGUGCAAGUCUGGAGUGAAAGGCGGGGGCUCAACCCCCGGACUGCUCUGGAAACUGUUCGGCGUGAGUGCAGGAGAGGGAAGUGGAAAUCCUAGUGUAGCGGUGAAAUGCGGAGAUAUUAGGAGGAACACCAGUGGCGGAGGCGGCUUACUGGACUGUAACUGACGUUGAGGCUCGAAAGCGUGGGGAGCAAACAGGAUUAGAUACCCGGGUAGUC